UACGUAGGGUGCAAGCGUUGUCCGGAAUUAUUGGGCGUAAAGAGCUCGUAGGCGGCCUGUCGCGUCGGCUGUGAAAACCCGAGGCUCAACCUCGGGCCCGCAGUCGAUACGGGCAGGCUAGAGUUCGGUAGGGGAGACUGGAAUUCCUGGUGUAGCGGUGAAAUGCGCAGAUAUCAGGAGGAACACCGGUGGCGAAGGCGGGUCUCUGGGCCGAAACUGACGCUGAGGAGCGAAAGCGUGGGGAGCGAACAGG
rnacentral:rRNA from 1 species